AAAAUCUCGGGGUGGAGCCAAGAUGGCUAAAUAGGAACAGCUCCAGUCUACAGCUUCCAGGGUGAGCGACACAGAAGAUGGUUGAUUUCUGCAUUACCAACUGAGUUAUUCUGAGAACCAUGGGCAAGAAAAGGAAGGCUGGGUUAGCCAAGGCCAUCUGAGGACUGUCCUGUAGCUUUCAUAGUUUUUGAAACAGGAGGCCUGCCAUCAGAAGAUACCCCUCAUAAUUAAACCAGCUGAAGCUCAUGGGGGAAUCCAAGAUGGCAGCUCAUUUGACCUUUGAAGAACUCCAAAAUUAAUUAUAAUCUAAUUUCCAUGUUAAAUGACACUCUCAGCAGUGUCAUGACAGUUAACAAUCACCAUGACAAUGAUUGGAAGAAACCAUAAAGGGACAAAAAGGAAGGUGGCACACCAGUUCUGAGAAGUUCUCCAUUCAUUCCAAGAAAAGAUAUGAAUAUUCCUCCCCUUGCUUUCAAUGCCCAAUUCUUUUAUUAAAUAUGCCCUAUAUCUGUGGCUUCCAAGCUCUUACAAGUUGAAUGGUUGAUUUGUGAGCCACACUCCCACUUCUCAAUUCUAUGGUAAUCAAAUAAAAACCUGUACUGCUUGACACUCACUUUCAGUUUUGCUUAUCAGCGUUGUGGCAAAGAACAGAAAAGAACCCAUCGUUUGGGUGAACAGAUUUGUCAGUAACAUCCUCAGAGAAUAUGUCUAACUGGGGCAACUAAACACCUCUAUGAUGCAAGUUAAAACCAACUGAUAAACACAUAAAUCACAUUGUCUAAACUGAAUAUUUAAAAGCAAAUUACAAAAAAAAAAUGGUGGAUAGGAGGCAGAGCUAAUUUGCAGCUUCCACUCAGACACACAGAGGAGUAUGUGGAGGCCCACAUCAUGAACCUUUGCUCCAAGAACUAUGGAAGAACAUACCAGGAAAGCCAAAAGAACACAGAGAUCCUUUGAAGGGAAGCAGCUUGCUUUUCAGUGAGACAGCCAAAAAACUGAGUGCCUGAAGUGUGAGAGGGGAAACCUUUGCCUCCAAACACACAUCCUCACUGGGGAAACUGAAGGCCCAGAUCACGGGAGAAGGAUCUGAGCUUAUGUGGAACUGAGACAACUUUAGAGAGCUGACCAAAAUAUAGAGAUAGAGGAAGCAGCAGGAAGAGCCCUGUGAGGCUCUUCCUCAUCAGGAAUCAGCACGAUCUUCUGUCCUUAGGAAAGCCAUUCCUAACUUUGUUUUGCAGGGGUCUGUGGGGAAGGCUGCCAGUGGAACCAGGGAAAGACCACAGGGAGAAUAGAACUUACAGCUGAACUUGGUAACAAUUUCCACCAAAUGCUAAGUAUCUUGGACGGAAUCUGGGGGAGGAGUGAACAGAGAGUGCAGAUAUUGGCACAGACACCACAGCAGGUGGGGAGGCACAAACUCUGAAAGCCCUGCUUGCUUUCUCAGUGGUGAGGCUUGUAGCCUGGGGCAAGUUCUCAGCCCUGCUCAUCUACUGCCUGGAAAUAAAUUUGGUGCUGUUGCGGGGACAUGGUGGGAAUGAGACUGGCCUUUCAGUCUACCUGGGGGCUGGGUGAGGCCUGUCACUGCUGGCUUUCCCCCACUUCCCUGGUGACCGGUAUGAUGCCUCUGAUCUCAGUUCAUUUGUGCUGUGAUAACAAAAUAACACAGACUGGAUAACUUCUAAAGAACAGAAAUAAAUAACAUAACUCCAUCAGCCUGAGAAUCACACCCCCAUCUCCCACAGCAGCUGCAGCAAGCCUCACCCAAGGAGAAUCUGAGCUCAGACAUGCUUAACCCUGCCCAACCUGAUAGUCUUUCUCUACCCACCUUGGUAACUAAAGACAAAGGACAUAUCUCUUGGGAGUUCUACAUUCCUGCUCACUCCUUGAGAAACCCAAAUACUUAUCCAGGCAACCCUAGGAUAAGCUUGUAUCCUCCCUAUACUACCACAGCUGAUGUUCUUUUGAAAGUGCCACCUACUGGCUAGAGGCCAACCAACAAAAAACCAGUGCACUAAACAAAACUACAACCAAAGACCCUCACAGAGUCCACUCCCCUGCUACCUCCAUCAGAGCAGGUGCUGAUAUUCAUGGCUGAGAGACCUGAAGAUGGAUCAUAUCACAGGACUCUCUGAAGACACUCCCCAGUACCAUCCUGGAGCCUGGUAACUCCACUGGGUGGCUAGACCCAGAAAAGAAAUAUCAAUCACUGAAGUCUGUCUCUCAGGAAGCCCCAUAACUAGGGGAAGGUGAAGAGCACUACAUCAAAGGAGCACCCUAUGGGAUAAAAGAAUCUGAACAACAGCCCUUGAGCCCCAAAUCUUCCCUCUGACAUAGUCUACCCAAAUGAGAAGAAACCAGAAAAACAAUUUUGGUAAUAUAGAGGUGAAGCCAGCUGGGCUUCUGGGUCGGGUGGAGACUUGGAGAACUUUUCUGUCUAGCUAAAGGAUUGUAAACACACCAAUCGGCACUCUGUGUCUAGCUAAAAGUUUGUAAACACACCAAUCAGCACUCUGUAAAAAUGCACCAAUCAGCACUCUGUGUCUAGCUAAAGAUUUGUAAAUGCACCAAUCAGCACUCUGUAAAAUGGACCAAUCAGCGCUCUGUAAAAUGGACCAAUCAGCAGGAUGUGGGUGGGGCCUAAUAAGGGAAUAAAAGCUGGCCACCUGAGCCAGCAGCAGCAACCCUCUUGGGUCCCCUUCCAUGCUGUGGAAGCUUUGUUCUUUUGCUCUUCACAAUAAAUCUUGCUGCUGCUCACUCUUUAGGUCCUCACUACCUUUAUGAGCUGUAACACUCACUGUGAAGGUCUGCAGCUUCACUCCUGAAGUUAGUGAGAUCACAAAUCCACUGGGAGGAAUGAACAACUCUGGAUGCACUACCUAUAAGAGCUGUAACACUCACUGCGAAGGUCUGUGGCUUCACUCCGGAAGUCAGUGAGACCACGAACCCACUAGGAGGAAGAAACUCUGGAGACAUCUGAACAUUUGAAGGAAUGAACUCUGGACACACCAUCUUUAAGAACUGUAAUACUCACCGUGAGGGUCUGAGGCUUCAUUCUUGAAAUCAGUGAGACCAAGAACCCACCAGAAGGAACGAAUUCUGGACACAUUUUGGCAACCCAGAUGGGACAAUCACCAAGUGUUAAGGUGGCAGGAGUGGAAUCUUGGAUUUACCACAUCCGAGAUAAAUUUUGGACACCCCCUGAGGAGCCUGUGGGACUGUCAGCUCAGGAGUCCCAAGAUCAGCCAGACCAGCCUCAAUACACCUACGACCUGUUGGAGGACUUGCAUCUCCUAUUUCAGAAGGAAACAUCCCAGACUAAAAAGGCUCCUACCACUGAUCCUGAAGAAAAACUCCUUCCUCCUUAAAAAAGAUAAGUGAAAACCUAUAUAAUCUUUAUUUUUAACACCUCUCCUUGCCCCUUUAAUGGAAUUCUUUUACUAUUUCAUCAUAUUAUUAAGUAGCAUACUAACCAUACUCUUUGCGAUAGGACUAUAUACUGUAGCUCCUGCUGGGAAGAAAAUCCAAAUCAUAUCAACCUUCUUUCUAUCUUCCUUCCUUCUGACAGCAAUUUACUUCUACCUUUAACUCAGACUGGAUAAGAUGAUCUCAUCUUCCAGAGCACCCUCUUUACCUUCCUAUUUACUCUUUGCCUAUCUAUCCCUGCUGCUUCCUUGGAUAUCUCAUACAAUCACCCCUCCCCUUCCACUAGGUCCUAAUUACCUCUACAAGACUCUCAACUUAACCCACUCUCUGUUAAACCAGUCCAAUCCUUCCCUGGCAAAUUACUGUUGGCUUUGUAUCUCUCUAUCAACUUCUGCUUACGUUGCCACUCCCAUUCCUGCCAAAAAAUUGGGUUUUUAUCAACUUAACCUACCACCCUCAUUAUGAAGGAAAAGACCCUUUCUGACUUCUAAAUAUGCAAUCAUUAGCUGACUUCCCCAUCUCUGAUAGGACCAAGAAUACCCUAACAGGACGUGCAAUCCAACUUUUAUGUUCUUACAUUUCCAACCUCACCUAUUACACAAGCAAUGAAAAGCCCAUACACGGCCCUAUAACUAUGAAUACCAUCCUAAUUUUCCAAGCCCCUUUAUGCAUCCAACACAACCUAUUAUCAGGCCUGCCCCUGGGGCAUCUACUACCCCAUCAGUGUAAUUACACCCUACAACUUCAAGCCCCAACUGAUCAUAGUAACUUCCGAGUCACCCAAACAAUUCCAUUCAGAUGGCUUGUCUGCUUCUCAGGGCCCCCCAAAAUCAUCAACUCCUCCCUGCUUAACAAACAGUCCAGGUUUUGUAAUGGCAAACAUACUCCCUGUAUGACCAUUCACCCCUGGACCUCCUACAGAAGCACCCCCACCACUAGUGAAUGCCUUCUCAUCCCCUCUUUCAAUCACACUCUCAAAUGGUUCCUAGUAGGUACAAAAUGGUUUUUUCUCCAAUAGGAAAAUAGAACAUAGGGAGCCACUCCCUAUGUUUGCUCCCAACACCCCUUUCCAGCCAUUCACUGGAGCUACCUUGGCAAGUACUCUAGGAGUAUGGGAAAAUGAAAACAACAAACUCACACAUCUUUUUAACAAAAACAACCAGUUCUGUCUACCCAGCUAAGUAUAUUCUUCUUUUGUGGAUCAUCGACGUAUAUCUGCCUCCCCACUAACUGGACAGGCCCUGCACCUUUGUCUUUCUAAGUCCCAACAUUAACAUUCCCCCAGGAAAUCAGACCCUAUCAGUACCCCUCAAAGCUCAAGUCUGUCAGUGCAGGGCCAUACAACGAAUAACCCUACUUAUAGGGUUAAGAAUGGCUACUGCUACAGGAACUGGAAUAGCCAGUUUAUCUACUUCAUUAUCCUACUACCACACACACUCAAAAGGAUUUCUCAGACAGUUUGCAAGAAAUAACGAAAUCUAUCCUUACUCUACAAUCCCAAAUAGACUCUUUGGCAGCAGUGACUCUCCAAAACCACUUAGGCCUAGACCUCCUCACUGCUGAGAAAGGAGGACUCUGCACCUUCUUAGGGGAAAGUGUUGUUUUUACACUAACCAGUCAGGAACAGUACGAGAUGCUGCCUGGCAUUUACAGGAAAAGGCUUCUGAAAUCAGACAAUGACUUUCAAACUCUUAUACCAACCUCUAGAGUUGGGCAACAUGGCUUCUUCCCUUUCUAGGUCCUGUAGCAGCCAUCUUGUUAUUACUCGCCUUCAAGCCAUUUUUAACCUCCUUGUCAAAUUUGUUUCCUCUAGGAUCGAGGCCAUCAAGCUACAGAUGGUCUUACAAAUGGAAACCCAAAUGAGCUCAACCAACAACUUCUACUGAGGACCCCUGGACUAACCAGCUGGCCCUUUCACUGGCCUCAAGAGUUCCCCUUUGGAGGACACUACAACUGCAGGGCCCUUUCUUUGCCUCUAUCCAGCAGGAAGUAGCUAGAGUGGUCAUUGCCCAAUUCCCGACAGCAUUUGGGGUGUCAUGUUUAGAGGGGAGAUUAAGAGAUGAAGCUGGCUGGGCUUCUGGGUGAGGUGGGGACUUGGAGAACAUUUCUGUCUAGCUAAAGGAUUGUAUACACACCAAUCAGUGCUCUGUGUCUAGCUAAAGGUUUGUAAAUGCACCAAUCAGCAUGCUGUAAAAACGCACCAAUCAGCACUCUGUGUCUAGCUAAAGGUUUGUAAACGCACCAAUCAGCACUCUGUAAAAAUUGACCAAUCAGCACUUUGUAAAAUGGACCAAUCAGCAGGAUGUGGGUGGGGCCAAAUAAGGGAAUAAAAGCUGGCCACCCAAGCCAGCAGCGGCAACCCACUUGGGUCCACUUCCAAGCUGUGGAAGGUUUGUUCUCUUGCUCUUCGCAAUAAAUUUUGCUGCUGCUCACUCUUUGGGUCCACACUACCUUUAUGAGCUGUAACACUCACCACAAAGGUCUGCAGCUUCACUCCUGAAGUCAGCAAGACCACGAACCCACCGAGAGGAAGAAACAACUCCAGACACGCCAACUUUAAGAGCUGUAACACUCACUGCAAAGGUCUGUGGCUCCACUCCUGAAGUCAGUGAGACCAUGAACCCACUGGGAGGAACAAACAACUCUGGAUAUGCCAUCCUUAAGAGCUGUAACACUCACUGCAAAGGUCUGCAGCUUCACCCCUGAAGUCAGCAAGACCAUGAACCCAUGAGAAGAAAGAAACUCUGGACACAUCUGAACAUCUGAAGGAAUAAACUCUGGACACACCAUCUUUAAGAGCUGUAACACUCACUGCAAGGGUCUGCGGCUUCAUUCUUGAAGUCAGUGAAACCAAGAACCCACCAGAAAGAACCAAUUCCAGACACAAUAUGACAAAACAUGAUUCUUUACCACUCCCCCCAAAUCACAGUAGCUCACCAGUAAUAGGUCCAAACCAAGAAGAAAUCUCUGAAUUGCCAGAAAAAUGAUGCAAAAGGUUGAUUAUUAAGUUACUCAAGGAGGCACCAGAGAAAGACGAAUAACAACUUAAAGAAAUUUUAAAAAAAAAAGAUACAGGAUACAGAUGGAAAAAUCUCCAGAGAAAUAGAAAUAGAUAGCAUAAAUAAAAAAAAGUCACAACUUCUAAAAAUGAAGGACACACUUAGAGAAAUGCAAAAUACACUGGAAAGUCUUAGCAAUAGAAUCAAACAAGUAGAAGAAAUAACUUCAGAGCUAGAAGACAAGCUUUAGAAUUAACCCUAUCUGACAAAGAGAAACAAUUAAAAAAUCAAAAAAAAAUUUGCAAAGCCUCAAAAAAGUUUGGGAUUGUGUUAAACAACAAAACCUAAGAAUAAUUGGUAUUCUGGAGGAAUAAGAGAAAUCUAAAAGUUUGGAAAACAUAUUUGAGGGAAUAAUUGAGAAAAACUUCCCUGGCCUUGCUAGAGAUCUAGACCUUCAAAUACAAGAAGCUCAAAGAACACCUGGGAAAUUCAUUGCAAAAAAGAUCUUUGCCUAGGCACAUAUUCAUCAGAUUAUCUAAAAUCAAGAUGAACGAAAGAAUCUUAAGAGCUGUGAGGCAAAAGCAACAGGCAACCUAUAAAAGAAAACCUAUCAGAUUAAUAGCAGAUUUAUCAGCAGAAACCCUACAAGCUAGAAGGGAUUGGGGUCCUAUUUUUAGCCUCCUUAAACAAAACCAUUAUUAGCCAAGAAUUUUGUAUCCAGUGAAACUAGCAUCAUAAAGGAAGGAAAGGUACAGCCUUUUUCAGACAAACAAAUGCUGAGAGAAUUUGCCACUACCAAGGUAGCACUACAAGAACUGAUAAAAGGAGCUCUAAGUCUUGAAAUAAAUGCUUAAAAUACACAAAAAUAGAACCUCCUUAAAGCAUAAAUUUCACAGGAACUAUAAAACAAUGAUACAAUAAAAAAACCCACCAAGGUAUUGAGGCAACAAAUAGCAUGAUGAAUAGAAUAGUACCUCACAGCUCAAUACUAACGUUGAAUGUAAAUGGCCUGAAUGCUGCACUUAAAAUAUACAGGAUGGCAGAAUAAGAAAUUGUGUCCAGAAUUGGUUUCUUCCAGUGGGUUCUUGGUCUUGCUGACUUCAAGAAUGAAGCUGCAGAUGCUCACAGUGAGUGUUACAGUUCUUAAAGAGGGAGUGUCCAGAGUUUGUUCCUUCAGAUGUUCAGAUGUGUCCAGAGUUUCUUCCUUCUGUUGGGUUUGUGGUCUUGCUGACUUCAGGAGUGAAGCUGCAGGCUUUCGCAGUGAGUGUUACAGCUCUUAAAGGUGGUGCGUCCAGAGUUGUUUGUUCCUCCUGGUGGGUGUGUGGUCUCGCUGACUUCAGGAGUGAAGCCGCAGACCUUUGCAGUGAGUGUUACAGCUCUUAAAGUUGGCGUGUCUGGAGUUGUUUCUUCCUCUUGGUGGGUUUGUGGUCUUGCUGACUUCAGGAGUGAAGCUGCAGACCUUCACGGUGAGUGUUACAGCUCAUAAAGGCAGUGUGGACCCAAAGAGUGAGCAGCAGCAAGAUUUA